rnacentral:lncRNA from 1 species
AUCACUUCUAUCCUUGCUGUAGAUUUUGUUGGUACAUCUCAUCAACGAACAUGAAGCUGUUUCUCCUGAUGGUUCUUGCCACUCUGUUGACUGCAGAAUGUGUUGUUGCAGAACGACAACAAAUCAAGCUGGCCCCAACCAUGUAUGCGAGAGCACGGUUCACAAGAUCAAUAUCAGAAUAUCGUCUUCGGUCUGGUGCCUCAAAACGUCUGAGAAUGCGAAGUCUAUCAAGUUCUGGCACUGAAUGAUGAGGCAUAAAACCCCAAAGUGUCGAUGCCGCACGCAAUGAC